ACGGCAGGUCAGUAUGCCCCGAAUCCCCUGGGCGGAACGCGACAUUCAAUGGUAGGGACAGUGGGUUCCGACCCCGAAAGGGGAAGGCAAUCCCUAAACCCUACCUAGGUUGGGAUCGAGGGUUGCAACUCGCCCUCGUGAACGUGGAAUCCCUAGUAACCGCGCGUUACCAUCGCGCGGUGAAUACGUCCCCGCUCCU
rnacentral:rRNA from 1 species